rnacentral:pre_miRNA from 14 species
AGAAAGACAUGGGUAGUGAGAUAGUUUUACCCUGCAUUCGAAAACCGGGAUCUCACUACCUUGUCUUUC